UCUAACCAAUGGGGGUGCUCGGUAGUGACUGCCGGGCUGAGAGGCGGAAGGCCAACUCCUAGAACCUGAUCCGGGUCGUGCCGGCGGAGGGAAUUGGGAUGAGUACCAA
rnacentral:ncRNA from 2 species